CAAGAGGAAUCUCAGUGUACAUUCCCUUCACGUGUCCUUUUGUUGCAAAUAGGCGGCAGGAGGACCGGCAGCAGCAGCAGCAGCAGCAGGAGGACCAGGACGACGAGGCCGAGGAGGAGCGGAGCCUGUGGACGGCCUUCAAGAAGCUGCGGGUGGACGCGGCGCGCAGAUGGAUCGCGGCUCAGCCUGUGGGCGACGGGACGGUUCUCACGGCGCCGAGG